rnacentral:lncRNA from 1 species
CUGCUUUGCAAUAAUACCUUAGCUGUAAUAAAAGGAGACGAGAUAAUUAAAAACACUUAUUUAAUAUUUAUUAGUAUUGUCAAAGAAGUUGAUGAAUAUAAAACGUAGACAAUCUCUUCUAGUUCUGUGAAAUUAAUUCCCCAGAUAUCUUUAAAAUAAAGUGCUGAAAGAAGGCUCUGAUAGGAUGGAUCUACUCCACCUAAGUAAACAUGGUUUACCAUGACAAAAGUAGAGCCAAAACCACCCAACAGACCACACAACCAUAGAAGGACUUCAUCUAAAAUGGAGGUAUUAUAUUAAAUCUUAUGGCGUUACAAAAUACACAACAAACUAUGCUGGGAUAAAAAGGCACUGAUUUAAUACGAGACAAUUAAAAUCAGAUGAGUAAAUAAUCAUACCAACAGUGUAGAAUAACCCCAUUAGUUUGUAAAAAGCACAAGCUACAGGUCUGGAAACAGUUCAAAACACUUCACAAUACCAACACCAGAGCUUCUUUACACUAUCUAUCUACAGGUCUGGAAACAGUAACCAUGAAUCCAUCCAUAGUGGAGAGCAACAGAUACAUUGACUAAGUGUACAUGGUUAUGGAACGUCCUCUAGUACUGUAUAAUCAGCAGUGGUUCACACAUGACUCAGUUGGUAGAGCAUGGUGUUUGCAACGCCAGGGUUGUGGGUUCGAUUGCCACGGGGGACCAGUACGGGGGGAAAAAAUAAAAAUAAAAAUAAGUAUGAAAUGUAUGUACUCACUACUGUAAGUCGCUCUGGAUAAGAGCGUCUGCUAAAUGACUAAAAUGUAAAUGUAUGACUUCUACAGUAAUGGUUCCAUUCAGUCUGGGUGGCUGAAGCGGUACAGAUUGGGUGAUUGAAAAAAAAUAAAAAAAAAAUAAAAAAAGGUCAUUUCCAAUUGAGCUGAUAUAUGCAUCUGCCUCUAACCCUAGGAAGCUCUUUGCUACCUUCUCCUCCCUCCUUAAUCCUCCUCCCCCUCCCCCCCCCCUCCUCCCUCUCUGCGGAUGACUUCGUCAACCAUUUUGAAAAGAAGGUUGACGAUAUCCGAUCCUCGUUUGCUAAGUCAAACGACACCGCUGGUCCUGCUCACACUGCCCUACCCUGUGCUUUGACCUCUUUCUCCCCUCUCUCUCCAGAUGAAAUCUCGCGUCUUGUGACGGCCGGCCGCCCAACAACCUG